rnacentral:lncRNA from 1 species
AUCUCAUAUGCUCGGCAAACGCAGCGACAUGAUGCGGGACAAAUGCCUGAAUAUAGAUACAUCCAAUGGAUGUGUCUCUGAUGAGCAAAUGCAAUUAUGUGGCAUGGGAUCAGGGGCAGGGCGGAGUUGCGGGCGCUGGGUAAUGAAUAGAGCCACGAAAUAGAGCAGCAAACUCCUUCGUAUUCCCCUCUCGACGGUCCUGUUCUGCAUCUGUGUGUUUGGAUGUGGAAAACCACACUGAUGACAGACAAGCCACGGCAGAGGAAGCCAAAGGAUAACAUGAGAUAACACACAUCAAAAGCCACUCAGACACCCACACACGAACAGCGGGGGUUAGGCAAAUAGGAUGGGUUUUAAGUGCUAUAUUUUUGGAGCCCUCUGUGGAUGCACGCACAUGUGCUCCCCAUCACAGCUGCUCGUGAUCCUUUGGCGACGAGAAAUCAGCGCUCAAAUAUGAUUAAUAAGUAAUUUCUUUGUCAACAAGUGACUGGGGAUGGCCUGCUAUGACGACAGCGGCGAUAACGACAACGAGAAUGAGAACGGAACGACGCCAUGGAAAUCUUUAAUAAAAUACAUGCAUAAAUAAAUUAUAGGGCAAGCAGAGGCGAGGAAAAACAAACUGGAUGGAGAUGAACUGCUCUGAAUGGAGGCAAACUGCUCCAUUUGUUGACGUCACACGCACAGAACACGUGUGUGUGUGUGAGCAUACGUUGGCACUGAGAUAGUAGGGUAUAUUGACUGUCAGGAACGAAAGGCCUCCAUAAACUUAAAAUUGUAUACUGUUUCUGAAAUAAAAUAGCUUUAAUCUGAUUAUCAAAAUGUUUAUUAUAAGAAUUAGGUGUGUGAUAUUAAUAUUAAGAAACAAUAUAACAAU